GCUCCCCCCAUAAGAGGUGCGAGCCGCUCCCCGCCGCCGGGACGCCCCCCGCCCGUCCCAGCCCCCCGCAGGUGCUCCCCCGCCACCCCGGGCUGCCGCCGGCUUACGGACGGCAUUUACCCCUCUCUGCCUGGCUCGGUGUGCCGGGGGAGCCCCUUCUCAUGGGUUCACACGCAGCAGGGCCUGGGUGCCCGUCCGGGCAGCCUGCCGGAGCCGGCACCGGAGCGCCGUGAAACCGCUGAGGUAACCGAGCGCGGACAGACACACACGACCCCCGCCCCCCGAUGCGGGUUGUCAGCAAUGGCACAGGGCAAAAAGCAUUUAAAACAAGACAAGAACCCAACACAAAGGAACAAGUUCAGAAUGUCCUAGAAGAUGAUUAUGAGCAAUUGCCUACAGAGAUUUUAAGCUACUCUGAAAUACGAAGGGCUUGCCAUUCUGCCAAGGGAUAAGUGCAUUGAUUAUGUUAAUGCUGAUGGAAAGAAUGAUGAAGACAUGAUGCUGCAGAAAGGAUACAGAAGGGAAGAAUCAAAUUCAAGGAGGUAGUUAACAGGAAAAGGGCAAGUUCCUUCUCCAGAAUCAUCCUCAGUAACCUGAUGUGAAGCGAUUCCCUGGGAGAUGAAGAAAUGAGGCAAAUAAUCCCUGUUUAUUUAACUCCUCUACAGCUUUACCCAAAAUGUGUUAGAAGUGACUGAAAGGUAAAGAAACAAAAAUCAGGAAAAGGGCAGGCAGCAUCAAAACUCUGCCUUUUAGUUAAUUUUUUUUCACAUUAGUUUUGGUUUUAAUUUGUGCUUUGGAUUUUCAUACACUUUGUGUAAAUGUAUAGACAUUAGCAAAUAUCUUGUUUACUAGUUUGAAGUGCACAUUUAUUUCUUGUUGACUGGCAGGAUUAUUAAUAAUUUUUAAUGAUUAUAUAUUUGCCAUUUUAAGUUUGCUUAAGCACUUUUUGGUGUUCACUUAAUUGUAAGGAAACAGAAAACUGAAAUCAUAUCAACCUCAAAAGAUUUUAUUAAAGGGUAGAAACAACAACUAGUAAUAUGUAUUAGCCAAGUCCAUGGUACACUGUGUUCCCAAACUAGUAAGCAGAGAAAGAUCCAUUUAGAUUGAUGUUUUAUUUGGAAAAUAGAUUGAUUCUUACACCGCUUAUUCCAUAAAUUGAUUAGGUAUAACAUACCUUAUACAGUCUAGGAGUCCCCUCAUCCUUGAAGUUUAAAAUAAUAUUCACAACAGGAGCUCCAAAGACUUGCAGCAUUAUCAGGAAUACUCACAGUAUUUCACUACUUCCAAAACAAAAUUUGCAUUAGCAAUCAGUUACUCUCUGCAGCAUGGCUCGCCUGCGCCAGAGAUAGAACUAAAAGAACUUCCAAGAUGCUCUUUAUUAGCUCUUGGCAGCAUAGAUGUGAUAUUCCUGUGGAAUAUCAUGCUCUCCUAAGCCAAACAAAUGCAAGGAAUGUCCGUUUAACACAACCCCUUACACAGGCUGAACAUUGCAAAGUUAUGGAACAAAAAGUGGGCAGGAUGUAAAGGAAAAAGACAAUAUACCUCCUUAAAGGAAAAGCAAUAUACUGUUUUGCAAAGGGACUUGAAGAAGAAUGAUACUCUGAGGUGUAAGGCUACAGGCAAAACACACUCAGGAGAAACAGGUUUCCUCUCAUCUCAAGUAGAGAGGACACGAAGGAGGAAUGUCUUUUGCAGGUACUGUUAGGACUGAAAAGCCUCUGGCUCAAGAGCAUGGGUGUGUGUAUAAACGUAUCCUAAAGGAUAUUCCCUGAAGGGAAGCUGUCCUUGUAUGAGUGUCAUUAAUGAUUUGGCAUAGUGUGUGAAUGCCAUCCCCAGAAAGCUUCUUGUUACUUACCAAUAAAUGGGAAGUAACUGAUUAAGCAACACCUAUUAGUCAUUUGGCAACAUGUUGCUUUCUACAGUGAUCAGUGAGUACCUUGAUAGAAAGAACCAAUAGCUUCCAUAUUGGUAUGGGAACAUGGGAUACUUCUUCUCAGACUUCAACAUUGCUCACAAGUUUGCGCUGGUAUGGCUACUGCAGCAAAAUGGAUAUGGGGUUACUCGGAAAAAACUGCACACAGAAAGGACUAUUUUCUUCCUCGAAUCUCAUUAGGAAAAAUCUGGCAUAGGCGAAGUUUAAAAAAUAUUGUCCAGAAUUCAGCUAAAAGGAAAGUUUUAUAACUUCAAUUGCUAGUGGACAAAAGAAAAAUGUAUUUCAGCAGAUUCUGGGCUCAACCCUGGUACUUGCAGACUGUCCUGAGGAGAAGAAUUGCCAGCUUCUGUUUAUUUUCCUGGAAGACUGUAAUUUCCAAAAGCAUGUAUCAAUGUGUUUCUAGACUUUGGCUAUGAUUUUAGGAUUCCAUCCUAAAAAAGUGCUGCUAGGUGAAGACUAAGCAGCCUUAACACCACAAGGCUGGAUUGGGUCCCAAUACAAAUGCUCAAACUGUUUAGUUAACUCCAAAUAUUUAUACUUAUACAAUGUAUUUCAGUAACAAGCUGUGUAUUAUUUAGUAAAGUUUUCCCUGGAAUUACCCAGAAACAUAAAUUAAUUUCCUGCAAGGUCAGUAUUGCUAAGAUGAAUACAUAUCCUUGUUUAUUAUUUCUGUUCCAAACUGCUUCAUUCCUCUGUAAUAACUUUCUCUGAAAGAUAAAUCUAAUUUCCAAAUCCUUCCUACUGAAUUAUAAACAAAUCAGAUAAACAGCUAUAAACCAGUUCCAUCCACAAACAGAAGAUGGAAAAUUUAUCCCCCAGAUUUUAAAACAUAUAAUUGGGUAUCAGGUAAAAGAAAAUUAAGUACAUUUGUGAAUGUUAGCAUAGGUCUUUGUUUCCAAUUCCUCAUUCCAGAUGAGGUAAAAUAACCCAGAUAUUCUGUUUGAAGGCUUUGGUAGCAGUGCUUGAUUGUGAGACCAAAUAUUAGCCACUGGAUGGCUUUCAUGCCUUUCUACCUGAUCUGCACUAACCUACUUCAAAUAAAGUUAUGCCAGAAUGAAUAUUGCAGAAUUUUUGCUUUAGCAAUUUACUCUCUAGUACUCCAACUAUUUAGUUCAUAUAAAAAGAUGCCCCUUUAAAAUAUUUUAUUUGUCUAAAAAUAAGUCUGACUAUAACGUAACAAAGUUCAGGUUCUCUUUUGUGCUUCUAUGGGCAACAUGUCUCAUAAGAAAGUUUAUGAAGUGCCUCCAAAUUGCUACUGAACACCCUGAGCUCUCUGUAGGGGGUGUCUACCGGAGUAGAAGAUAGCAGUCCCAGGUGAAUUUGUUUUUUUACUUUGAUCUCUGAUCCUCCUCUUCAGCUGUUUGGUUUUCUUCUUAACAUCUCCACAGUCUAUGCAUAGGCUUUUGCUAUGCCAAAAGUUUUGAUCAAGUCAUUCCUAUUUCUAAAUACCUCCAACUCAACAACUUCUAUUAUGUCAAAGCUCUCAUACUGCUCACAGAGUUCUGUAGAGGUCUUUCUUCUUCUAGUUGUUCCUACUCAUCCUGAGUCAAACUGUGCUCCAUCAGUUCUCUUUGUCCCCAGUUACAAACAUCUUUCUCGUGGUUUCUCAGACACUUGUGCAUUACGUUUUCCUGUCCCUAUCCAUUGAUCAGAAGUAUUAUGAAGUAAAAAGUCUCUCCCUAGUGCCUGUGUAGUAAAUGUGGGGAAUUGUCCUAUCUCAGAAGAACUGCAACAGCCAAUGCUGUGAGUGGGGACAGCUGAAACCGAUCUCCAGAAAACACGGAAGAGAGAUCUGUGAGCUAAGGCUCCUCUGUCACUCCAGCAUAUCUGCGGGAGCUCAGGGUCUCAGGCAGGCCCUCCAUUGCUUGGACCUCUUGGGUAGAGUCCACUGAGAGGAAAAAAAAUAAUUUUGCUCCAAACCCUUGCAAUUAAGAGUAUCCAAUCAGUGCAGGGGAGCAGAGUUCUUCUUUAUGUAAUGGGGCUUAAGCCCAUCAUUCAGAAAAUGUUUGUUCCGGGAAGGAGUACUUGUAAUUUCUCAUGUUGAAAUUUGUACCUCUGCGCACGGCAUUCACAAGACCCCAGCCAGCCCAAACAAGCAGCAAAGCUGAAGUUUCUUGGAGAGAUGAGGUGGCUUUCCUGAGGUCAGUCUAUGGGCCAGAGGCUGAAUUCCACUCUCCUGAGCCCAACGGUCCUAUUUGGUCUUCUAGGCUGCAGAAAAUGAAGAGAUGCUCUUUUUCAAUGUCUUUGAGAUCAAAUUGUGGCAUUUGUUCAAAAUACUGAGGAAAGCCUGAGAAUAGUUACUGCACUUCCGAACAAACCAUUAGGGCAGGAAAUAUGCGAUUCUUCUCUUUUGUGUAUAUUCCAAUUGCUAAUAAAACAAAAAGUAAACGUUCUUUUAGCAGUUUCCAAAAUGAGAUUGUAGUCUCUCUCAUGUACUGCCUUUUAUUUCUUCACUUCGUUGUAUAUGCAUAGGCAACUAGUUGAAUGAACUUGGUAUCUAAGAUAUCCUCCACAUCCCACCCCAGCUAGUAAAGUAUCUUCCACCACUUCCUGCCCCCAAAUGCAUAAAGAUAUGAAAACAAGCUGUAUUAAAAUAACUAGAUGAAAAAGAUGGUAUAAACUUGUUGAAAUACUGUGUCAACAUAAUUUUGAUAAAGGUUAUUUCAGUUUCACAUCAGCUGACCUGAAAAUAAUAAUAAAACUUGUUUUCAUAGUUCCAA